AAGAGCAAGAGUUUGAUCCUGGCUCAGAAUGAACGCUAGUGGCAGGCCUGACACAUGCAAGUCGAACGUGGCUCUAGGCUGUCGCCGGAGCCAAGUGGCAAACGGGUGAGUAAUGCGUGAGAAUCUGCCUCACACCGCGGUGGAAGUGGUAGCAGGCUCGCCUGUCUGCCUCGCAUCCCGCAUAGAUUGGUCUCCAGAGGGGGACUCCCCCUUUGGAGGCCUAGCAAAGGGUUUGAACCGGUGUGAGAUGAGCUCCCGUAGGAUUAGGUAGUUGGUGAGGUAAGAGCUCGACCAAGCCAAAGAUCCUUAGCCGGUCUGAGAGGACGAUCGGCCACACUGGGACUGAGACACGGCCCAGACGCUUUCGAGCGGCAGCAGUGAGGAAUCUUGGACAAUGGGCGGAAGCCUGAUCCAGCCAUGCCACGUGAGGGAUGAAGGCUAAAUGGGUUGUAAACCUCUGAUCCUGCCCAAGAUUGUGACACGGGGCAGGAGAAAAGUCCCGGCUUCACAGGUGGCUAAAGCCACGCUAGUGGAGCCAUUCGGCUUCACAGGUGGCAUUCGCCACCCCUUGCGGGGGAGGGGAGCGAGGUUGAAGAAUCCCUGGGCUUGCCCGAGGGGCGUCAAAGGGGGGUUAGGGCAGGGCCGAGGGUAGGCCUGUCCUGACGGUUGGGUUUGGCUGGAGUAAGUGAGAGGGGAGAGGAAUUCCUGGAGGAGAGGUGAAAUUCGUAGAUACCAGGAGGAAGGCCGAAAGCGAAGGCAUCUCCCUGGCGCUUGACUGACGCUGAGGUGCGAAAGCGUGGGGAGCAAAAGGGAUUAGAGACCCCUGUAGUCCACGCCCUCAACGAUGAGGAUUCACUAUUGGACACCCCAUGGGGGGUGGCGAAUGCCACCUGGGACGGCGAAUGCUGUCCCAACAAGACAACCCAAGGGAUGGUCGGUGGUCUAGCUAACGCGUUAAAUCCUCCGCCUGAGGAGUACGGCCGCAAGGCUAAAACUCAAAGGAAUAGACGGGGGCUCAUACAAGUGGUGGAACAUGUGGUUUAAUUCGAAACAACGCGCAAAACCUUACCAGCCCUUGACAUUGAUUCGAUCUCUCUCCCUACCGAGAGAGCAAGCAGUCAACAGGUGUUGCAUGGCUGUCGUCAGCUCGUGUCGCAAGAUGUUUGGUUAGUUCCUUUAACGAGCGCAACCCUCAUGGGAUCUUGCCAGAGGCUAGGACAUGUCCCAUUGGCAUCAUCUAAACAAUAAUGCCAAUGGGACAUGUCCUGGACAGGGCACUGUUCCCAAACUGCCUAUGAUAUAUAGGAGGAAGGCGAGGAUGACGUCAAGUCGUCAUGACCCUUAUGGGCUGGGCUACACACGUGUUACAAUGGCGAUCACAAAGGGAAGCAAUGAUGCAAAUCGGAGCAAAGCCACGAGAAAAUCGCCCUAGUUCGGAUUGCUUUCUGCAACUCGAAAGCAUGAAGAUGGAAUCACUAGUAAUCGUGGAUCAGCACGCCACGGUGAAUUCGUACCUGGGCCUUGUACUCCCCGCCCGUCACGCUCUGGAAGUCGAAUGGCUUGGAAGUCUCCUCUUCCUCCCCAGCAAUCCCGCUUGUCUACAUGCCUGCCCGGUGUGCCACCCCCCUCGACUUAUCGAGAGAGGGGUGGGUGGCUCUAGCCACCAGUGAAGGCAAAUGCCUCCACCAGAAGAGGAGACGGGAUUGUGGAGGAGAUGAAGUGACCAAGAACUGUUUGGCAACUGGAGCGAAGUCGUAACAAGGUAGCCGUAGGGGAACCUGCGGCUGGAUUGACUCCUUUCCUUUGAUUCCUCGUCAAACCGGUAGGCUUGCUUGUGAGUCACAACU
rnacentral:rRNA from 1 species